GAUGCAGCCAUGCCGCGUGUGUGAAGAAGGCCUUCGGGUUGUAAAGCACUUUCAGUCAGGAGGAAAGGUUAGUAGUUAAUACCUGCUAGCUGUGACGUUACUGACAGAAGAAGCACCGGCUAACUCCGUGCCAGCAGCCGCGGUAAU
rnacentral:rRNA from 1 species